GACGAACGCUGGCGGCGUGCCUAAUACAUGCAAGUCGAGCGGAUUUUUAAAAGCUUGCUUUUGAAAAUCAGCGGCGGACGGGUGAGUAACACGUGGGCAACCUGCCUGUAAGACUGGGAUAACUUCGGGAAACCGGAGCUAAUACCGGAUACGUUCUUUUCUCGCAUGAGAGAAGAUGGAAAGACGGUUUCGGCUGUCACUUACAGAUGGGCCCGCGGCGCAUUAGCUAGUUGGUGGGGUAAUGGCCCACCAAGGCGACGAUGCGUAGCCGACCUGAGAGGGUGAUCGGCCACACUGGGACUGAGACACGGCCCAGACUCCUACGGGAGGCAGCAGUAGGGAAUCUUCCGCAAUGGACGAAAGUCUGACGGAGCAACGCCGCGUGAACGAUGAAGGCUUUCGGGUCGUAAAGUUCUGUUGUUAGGGAAGAACAAGUACCAGAGUAACUGCUGGUACCUUGACGGUACCUAACCAGAAAGCCACGGCUAACUACGUGCCAGCAGCCGCGGUAAUACGUAGGUGGCAAGCGUUGUCCGGAAUUAUUGGGCGUAAAGCGCGCGCAGGUGGUCUUUUAAGUCUGAUGUGAAAGCCCACGGCUCAACCGUGGAGGGUCAUUGGAAACUGGGGGACUUGAGUGCAGAAGAGGAAAGUGGAAUUCCACGUGUAGCGGUGAAAUGCGUAGAGAUGUGGAGGAACACCAGUGGCGAAGGCGACUUUCUGGUCUGUAACUGACACUGAGGCGCGAAAGCGUGGGGAGCGAACAGGAUUAGAUACCCUGGUAGUCCACGCCGUAAACGAUGAGUGCUAAGUGUUAGAGGGUUUCCGCCCUCUAGUGCUGCAGCUAACGCAUUAAGCACUCCGCCUGGGGAGUACGGCCGCAAGGCUG
rnacentral:rRNA from 1 species